CGUAGGGAGCUAGCGUUGUCCGGAAUCAUUGGGCGUAAAGCGCGCGUAGGCGGCCCGGUAAGUCCGCUGUGAAAGUCAAAGGCUCAACCUUUGAAUGUCAGCGGAUACUGCCGGGCUAGAGUCCGGAAGAGGCGAGUGGAACUCCUGGUGUAGCGGUGGAAUGCGCAGAUAUCAGGAAGAACACCAACGGCGAAGGCAGCUCGCUGGGACGGAACUGACGCUAAGGCGCGAAAGCGUGGGGAGCGAACAGGAUUAGAUACCCUAGUAGUCCACGCCGUAAACGAUGGGCACUAGGUGUGGGAGGUGUCGACUCCUCCCGUGCCGGCGCUAACGCAUUAAGUGCCCCGCCUGGGGAGUACGGCCGCAAGGCUA
rnacentral:rRNA from 1 species